GACGAACGCUGGCGGCGGGCUUAACACAUGCCAGUCGAACGGUGAACUCCGCUUGCGGGGGGAUCAGUGGCGAACGGGUGAGUAACACGUGGGCAACCUGCCCUCAGCUCUGGGAUAACUGCAAGAAAUUGGGGCUAAUACCGGAUAUGACCGCUGACCGCAUGGUCUGGUGGUGGAAAGAUUUAUCGGCUGGGGAUGGGCCCGCGGCCUAUCAGCUUGUUGGUGGGGUAGUGGCUUACGAAGGCCACGAAGGGUAGCCGGCCUGAGAGGGUGACCGGCCACACGGGGACUAGGCGACGGCCCAGACUCCUACGGGGGGCAGCAGUGGGGAAUAUUGCGCAAUGGGCGAAAGCCUGACGCAGCGACGCCGCGUGGGGGAUGACGGCCUUCGGGUUGUAGAACUCUUUCAGCAGGGACGAAGCGAAAGUGACGGUACCUAAAGAGGAAGCACCGGCCAACUACGUG
rnacentral:rRNA from 1 species